AACGUAGGUGGCAAGCGUUAUCCGGAUUUACUGGGCGUAAAGCGUGUGCAGGCGGGGGUACAAGUGGUGUAUGAAAUUUCCCAGCUUAACUGGGAAGGGUUAUGCCAGACUGUACUUCUGGAGUGCGAGAGAGGGGCGUGGAAUUCCGGGUGUAGUGGUGAAAUGCGUAGAGAUCCGGAGGAACCCCAGAGGCGAAGGCGGCGCCCUGGCUCGCAACUGACGCUCAGACACGACAGCAUGGGGAGCGAACGGG
rnacentral:rRNA from 1 species